AGUGAACGCUGGCGGUAGGCCUAACACAUGCAAGUCGAACGGCAGCACAGGAGAGCUUGCUCUCUGGGUGGCGAGUGGCGGACGGGUGAGGAAUACAUCGGAAUCUACUUUUUCGUGGGGGAUAACGUAGGGAAACUUACGCUAAUACCGCAUACGACCUACGGGUGAAAGCAGGGGAUCUUCGGACCUUGCGCGAUUGAAUGAGCCGAUGUCGGAUUAGCUAGUUGGCGGGGGAAAGGCCCACCAAGGCGACGAUCCGUAGCUGGUCUGAGAGGAUGAUCAGCAACACUGGAACUGAGACACGGUCCAGACUCCUACGGGAGGCAGCAGUGGGGAAUAUUGGACAAUGGGCGCAAGCCUGAUCCAGCCAUACCGCGUGGGUGAAGAAGGCCUUCGGGUUGUAAAGCCCUUUUGUUGGGAAAGAAAUCCAGCUGGUUAAUACCCGGUUGGGAUGACGGUACCCAAAGAAUAAGCACCGGCUAACUUCGUGCCAGCAGCCGCCGUAA
rnacentral:rRNA from 1 species